UCUUGUUCUUCUCUAUUACAUCCUGGGCAGGUCGAUAUAAGACAAACAUUUUCAUUUCUUCUGCAUUCUAAAAGGUCAAAAUGAUAACAAAAUCAGAAAUAGAACCCACAUCUUUGGCUUUAUUGCAGAUCUCAUCCUACUUAACUUUUAUCCCUUGGCGCCUUGUUCUGUUGGCUGGGCUUAGAGACAACUAUCUUGAAAUAAGCAGCUCUCAGCUUCUUCCUUUGCAGCUCACCUUCUUAAUUCAUGUCAUACCAGCUUGGUAGGGUGACUCCUAAACUAUAACAACAAGAAUAGUAAACUUAAUUUUAUAUAGGAUCCUUCAUACAGCGCCAUUACAAAACGCUUUGCCAAUUUAAGAGUUGUAGAAUUACAAAGCAGCGCUAUCGAAUUAAAUAAGUAACAGCUGAUACUAAUAAUUAGCUUAAUUUAUGGUCUAGCAGAACUGUCACAACUGAGGCAGCUCUCCCUCCGCCUCUCAUCUCCCUCUCUUUUCUUCCUCAUCCCUCCUCCUUUGGCAAUGGCAACCAAGUGAAGUGCUGAGAUUGUCACAUUAGUCAUCAGAAAGUCAAGUCACUUCUUCCUUUACUCGGUAGCUUUACGACCUUGUUAUAUCAAGAAUUUUCAACCUUUUUGGAAUUGCUCCACCCCUUCAUGGUUUGAUUUCUCAACUGCUUCUCCUAAUGGCAGGCACCUGGUGGGAGAGGCACGAAGAAAUAUGGGCUUUCUCUACCAUCAAAAUAACGUAACCUGGGGACCAAACUCUGCAGAGCUGCUCUUUGUGGGAAGAGAUCUGUCAGUUUUCCUGAAGAUGAGCUUGUCUACUAUGAAAGAAAAUCAGUGCUCUUUAACUGUGGACUAAACCAAGACAGAUGUCCAGUUCUUGCCUCUUCCCACCAUGUAGUCUUCCUGAUUU
rnacentral:lncRNA from 1 species